GGCUUCGGAAGUGCCGAGGCGGGGGGAGGGCCCUGCAGGUGGAGGGAAGGGCCUGGGUCGGAGCGCCCCUUCCCCUUCUCAGGGAUCCCGACCCGCCGACGACCCGUCCUUCCGGCUCGCUUCGCUCCCUCCCUGCUAGCCAGAUGGGAACCCCUGAGUGGGAGUUGUGAUGUGCUUGGGAGCGGCUCUGGCAGGGGUCUCUGAGUCCACUGCCCUUCGCUGCUGGGGGGCGGGGACGCUUGCCUCAGUUUCCUCAUCUGACACCCUGGAAUAGACGUUCCCACUUCCUGGGCAGACUCAGCUGAGCCUCUGGCUCUGAGAGGGUUAAAAAGCGUCUCCCCUGCAUCCACCCCUCCCUCAGGAGGACACCCUUUGCGUCUCCUGUCUCCCGGAGAUGCUGAGUGAUUGCCUGCUCCUCGCAGGCCCCUUGGGGCCGGCAGAAGCAGGGCUCAGGUUGGCCAGGACUCUACCCUCCACGCCUAGGUCUGCGCUCCGUGUUCCCUCUCGGAGAUCCCCUAGGGGGGACUCCCCCAGGUGGGCCCAAAUACAAAAGAAAGGGAGAGGCGAGAUGGAAUCCUCUGACAGCUUGCCAUAAGAGGACAAACUCCCAAAUAGAAAUUCUGAAAAUUGUCUCCUUUCCUUAUUCCGACGGAAGCCCUUCUAGCUGCCUAGGUUAAAGGUCCAAACUGGGACAGGGGGCAGAGUAAGAGGAGGUGGCUGCCUGGGACAUUGGCGACAGGACUGGAAGUAGGGACAGAUGAGAAAGGGAAGCUUGAAAUGUGGAAACAGCUCUUUCCUCCCCCACCGCCUUCCUCCCCAGCGGCCGCUGCCCCUCCUGGCCCUCCAUCCAGGCAGGUGGGCUGUAGGGCUCUACCAGCCACCUGCUCACCCAAGCUCUGUGCCCGAUGUGCCUCUGGAAUGCACUUCCUCCCAACCGUCGGACCUCCUAGAAAUGAAAUUGCUGAAUCAAAGAACAUGAACGUCUAGGAUCUUUGUGUGAUUCCCACCCCCCACCCCACCCCCGGUUUUAUUGAGCUGUGACUGACACGCAGCACCGUGUAAGAUGAAGGUGUACAGAGUGAUUUGGCAAAUAUACGUGCCUUGGGAAGUGACCACAAAAUACCUCAGUGGAUCCAGAAGCUUCCAGUGGAAGCUGAGUUGGCCACAGGACUAGAAGAGCCCCUUCCCUUCUGGCUGGUGCCCGCACACUCUGCCCUGUGCCCAUACUCUCCAGCGGGAACACACCGCACAUUCUGGAAGUCAGACCUGUGCAAAGUCUGAAUUGGCAAACGGGGACCUAGGUGAACAGGCGCAUGAGAGUGAAGCAGAAGUGGUCUUCACGUUCACCCAACAGACUUGAUUUGAAAGAGCAGAAUCCCUCGUCGCAGAUGUAGACACAGAGCCCAGAAAGGUCCCUGCCCCCACCACCUCUCCAGUUGUCUGAGGUCUUCAUUUGCACCUUCCCAUCAGGUCUCCAAGGCAGCCUCCUGAGUUGGGGGGUGGGCCAUGGAUUGAGCCCUUACUAGGUGCCAGACACUUUAUUAUUUAAUCCCCUCUGCAGGGGCGCCUGGGUGGCUCAGUCAAGCAUCUGGCUUCAGCUCAGGUCAUGAUCCUGCCAGCCUGGGA